rnacentral:SRP_RNA from 1 species
CCCGGAAUGGAGCAUCUCUGCUUGGGCCGGCGAGUUCUCGGAGCGGGAUCCCAGGGCUGCGCGGGCGUGCGAGGCCCUGCGAC